rnacentral:snRNA from 1 species
AGCUUUGAACGUAGCAGUAUCAUAGCCAAGGUAGUUUAUCCCAGGAGUGAUUAUUGCUAAUUAAAAACUUUUUCAAUACCCUGCCACAAUAACUUGUAAUAUAGUCAGCAUUGGCAAUUUUUGGAAGUCUUUAUGGA